rnacentral:tRNA from 1 species
AUGUGGAGGUUAUGGGGAUCGAACCCACGACCUACUGCGUGCAAGGCAGUCGCUCUCCCAAACUGAGCUAAACCCCC